rnacentral:lncRNA from 1 species
GAGUGAGAGGAAGAUGAAGGAGAUAAUGCGAAGUGCUGUAUUCGUGGCUUGAUUUGACUGGUAAGAUUGGAUUUGCUGGAUAAGACUGAACUCUCCUUUCCUUACUUUCUUAUAUAUAUAGCUGAUGCAACUAUGGGUGACAGAUAAAGUGAGCUAGUGACAAAGGCAGGGUGUCACUGAUUUAUUAUCUACCUUCCAUGUGCUCAAGAUUCAAUUAACUACGCAUAAGUAGGCUCAGUCAUUGUAAAAAAAUAUACUACAAAUGUACAUGUUUUAUUAGGAAGAAGUUAGAGGAUAAAAUUAAGUUUAAUCGGAAAUCAGUUGUCAUCUCUGAUUAAGAAAAUUCACUGCAUUUUCUCUUGGUAUUAUUCUAAUUAUUAUUCUAACUUUUUCCUCCUGAAUUCACGUGUACAUUUAAAUUUGCCAACCUGCAGCAUGGCAGCUUUUCCCCCAUUUUUUAACAAACCGCAAGGCAGUUAGCUCCACACGGCUGCAACAUCUCUUGCCAAAAGCACACGGUGGGCCGAGGAUGCAGUCGCUCUUCUAGGCCCUAUUACUGGGUAUCUAUAAUUCAUACCUAAAUCCACACCCACUUUAAAUGGGAAGGGUAUGGGUAGAAAUAUAUAUACCCAUUAAAAAUGGGAAGGAUAGGGUAUAGGGAGGGUACAAUUUAUUCAUUGGAUAUGCAUAGGAUCUAGUAAAAAAGUUAAUUAUCCAUUGAUAUGGGGUGAGAACGGGGAGGGUGAGGAUUGGAUAUUAUAUAUUUGAAUUUGGGUAUGAACAAGUGUGGGUUUGUCCAUACCCUCCCCAGUAGCAGGCCUACGCUCUUGCCAAUGGACAUGGCGGGUGCUCGGUUGAUCCAAAGGGUUAUAAUCAUCAUUAUUAUAAUCUUGUGGCUAAUAUUUUAUUGAUGGCAUAGCUUAAUGAGGGGAUUGGUUUGUAGUAGUCAAUAUUAUAGGAUGAAGGAAUUUCUCUUUGAGCGAUUCUAAUCGAUUAAUAGUAGCUUGCCAUUUCCUUUUAUCGCAUAAUAUAUAGAUUUAUGUUAGAAGACUCUUUUUACUUAUAAAUGCCAUAAUAUCAUUCAAGAAAACAUCCGCAAAUUGAACUACUUCUUUUUAUGAAAAAUCAAUCGGUAUAGUACUUCUCAUGUAAUAAACAUUAAAAAAACUUCCACAUUUGCUUUUCACAACAACAAAAAAAUUAUAUGUGUGUAUAUAUGCCCUGAAUUUGGAGGUCUAACUAUGUCCAUUCUUUAAUCAAAGUAAUCGCGACCAACAAUUUGUAAAAGCUAUAGGGCGGGACCUAAACCCACCAUAUCAUCCAGAAAGGUAAACGAAUCCUAUCGCAUCACCUUUAAAAACUCAUAUUGUGUUCUUCACUAAUCCCAUUCUACCUCACCUCACUCCAUCCACCAUCCCCGUUCCCCCAGCCAUCGAUGGGCUAUUGCUGCAGCGGACACAACAAAGGCCUCGCUGCGCAGGGUACGGCACUUGCACACCAAACUCUGCCGUGGGCAAUGCACUGGCCUGUACCUAUGGGUCGGUCCAAAAGAUUGUAAAACUGGUCAAAUUAUGUGUAAUACUAAACAUAUAACCAAAAUAUCAUCAUAAAUUUUGUGACCGGGAAGCUAGCUUAGUGAGACU